rnacentral:lncRNA from 1 species
CCUGCCCGGCCAGCCGCCCCGUCCGGGAGGUGAGGGGCGCCUCUGCCCGGCCGCCCCUACUGGGAAGUGAGGAGCCCCUCUGCCCGGCCACCACCCCGUCUGGGAGGUGUGCCCAACAGCUCAUUGAGAACGGGCCAGGAUGACAAUGGCGGCUUUGUGGAAUAGAAAGGCGGGAAAGGUGGGGAAAAGAUUGAGAAAUCGGAUGGUUGCCGUGUCUGUGUAGAAAGAAGUAGACAUGGGAGACUUUUCAUUUUGUUCUGCACUAAGAAAAAUUCCUCUGCCUUGGGUUCCUGUUGAUCUGUGACCUUACCCCCAACCCUGUGCUCUCUGAAACAUGUGCUGUGUCCACUCAGGGUUAAAUGGAUUAAGGGCGGUGCAAGAUGUGCUUUGUUAAACAGAUGCUUGAAGGCAGCAUGCUCGUUAAGAGUCAUCACCAAUCCCUAAUCUCAAGUAAUCAGGGACACAAACACUGCGGAAGGCCGCAGGGUCCUCUGCCUAGGAAAACCAGAGACCUUUGUUCACUUGUUUAUCUGCUGACCUUCCCUCCACUAUUGUCCCAUGACCCUGCCAAAUCCCCCUCUGUGAGAAACACCCAAGAAUUAUCAAUAAAAAAAUAAAUUAAAAAAAAAAAUAAAUAAAUAAAUCCAGCAAAAAUAAAAAUAAAAAAUAAAAUCCCCUUGAAUACAUUUGAGGUAAUGUUGUAGUUUUCAGCUCCUCCCACGAGAGAUUUUAUGGAGUGCCUAACUGUGCUACCCGGGUGCUGCUCCUGUCGUUAGUGGUGGCACCCAGGAGGAAUUAAAAUUACAAGAGUGUUUCCUUCCAGAUGUUGUUGCUACAGGCUCAAGGUGCUCUUUUAACUGGGACAUCAGGCUUUCUUGAAAUAGACAAGAAUUCUAGAAACAUGACAUUGUGCCUGAUUCAUCGCUUCAACUUGCCACUGACUCAUUCUCUCCUUGAUAGGUUAUUCAACAGUAACUUUAAUUACAUCAUUUACUUAUUGUUUUCUUCCUUGAUUUAUUCUCUUUCUACAAUUCUUGUUUAUCAUCUCAGUGAUUGGACCAUCUCACCUCUGAGACUUGGGUAGAAUUCUGUGGACUCUGGAAAUAGACAUGGAGGUUUUCAUGUAUCUCUGUUAAUGUGUACAAACACCCCCAGGCUUGUACACUUGAAAUACAUCAGUAGGAAGGGUAGUUCUCAAUUUGCUAGUGUUUCACACAGCUUGUCUUAUUUAAUGAUCUCAGCUGCCCUAUGAAGUAGAUACCAUCCUAUUAAAAAAUGCAGGAGCAGAGGCUCUGAGAGGGGACUGUAACUUACCCAAGAUCAUGUGGUAGAUUGCAAAACUGGUUCCAAAUCCCUACCCUUCCCUGUACGCACACCUUUUGCCAUUCAUCUGCAAUGUCCUUUUCUGAUUCUGGGCUCAGCAAUAUAACUUGCUCUGGCCAACAGGAUAACAACAGCAAAUGUGAUGUAAGCAAAAGCUUGAGAAAUACUUGUGCAACUAAUCAUGUUUGCCUUCUCUCUUGUACCUGUGCCAUUGCCAUGAGAACAUGCCUGGGCUAGGAUUAGAGACACUUGGAGCAGAGCUGAGUCAUCCCAGCUGUCCCAGUUGAGGCCAGCCUAGGUCAGUCGAUGGCAACCAAGCCCUAAGCAUGUUAGUGAGCCCAGCCAUGAUCAGCACAACCACCUAGCCAACCAUCCCAGACCUGUGAUCAAUAAAGCCUUACUAUUCCAUACCACCUAGGUUUUGUGAUUAUUUAUUUCACAGAAUUAUUAUGGCAGUAUGUAACUGAUAGAAGCGGUGUACAGGGAAGAGUAUUUGUUAGUCCGUUUUCACACUGCUGAUAAAGACAUAUGCGAGACUGAGCAAUUUACAAAAGAAAGAGGUUUAAUGGACUUACAGUUCCACGUGGCUGGGGAAGCCUCACAAUUGUGGUGAAAGGUGAAAGUCACAUCUCACAUGGCAGCAGACAAGAGAAGAAGAGCUUGUGCAGGGAAACUCCCCUUUUAAAAACCAUCAGAUCUCAUGAUACUUAUUCACUAUCAUCAGAAUAGCCUGGGAAAGACCUGUCCCCAUGAUUCAGUUACUUCCCACCGUGUCACUCCCACAACAAGUGGGAAUUCAAGAUGAGAUUUGGGUAGGGACACAGCAAAACCAUAUUAGAGCAGAUCUCUGGAAUUGGGCAGGCCAAGGUUUGAAUCCCAUCUGUUAUUUGGAGUGUGUGUUUCUUUUUGAGACUAAUCUCCUUACCCUUGAAAUGAGGUAAUAUACUUCCCUCAUAGGGUUGCUGGGAAGAUUAAACACGAGGUGAAGUAAAUAAAGCCCCAGGGACAUAAGCAAAAAAUAAUGGCUUCUCACAGCAAUGCUCCAGAACAUACAACAAGGGAAUACUGGGCCCAGUCCCAGGACUAUCCAAGUGUGAAGCCAACACCUUUUCACAUCAACUCCAAGGUAAGGAUUAAGAACAGAAUGGCCUGGUUCUAAUCUUACCAUGAAAUGCUGCUCCCCUGAAUCUUCCAUUGCAGUAUAGAGAGCAGGACAGGCCUUUAAAAAAUUAAUGUUGCUUAAAUUUAGGAGCCUGAAAAAAAAGCCAAAUCCAAGAUUUUCCUUUGGACUUGUGGUUUUGCCAGAUAGGUGGCAGUGAUUUCGGGAAGGAGGGUUGCUUUUGUCCUGGGUAUGGGUGUGUUUCAAAGUCCUCCGGGCACAGUUGGGAGCAGGGGCCAGCCUGGCUGCGUUUGCCCUGACUCUGUUGGUUGCCCCUCUGCAUGCACAUGCAUUUUUGAUGACAGAUCAUUCAGGAAAUGUGAAUGUUUCCCUGGGAGGCUUUGCUUUUUUCACCUGGCCUUCUUUUCUGGGCCUCCUGUGGGGCUGCCCUUUCCCUUCCUUUGAAGCCAUUGUCUUCUUGACAUGAAAAAUGUACUCAGGUACGCUUAUGGCUAAUUAUCUCAAGGGGGAAGAAAAAACAAAAUGAACUCAAGGCUGAAAUAUAGAACCAUUAACUCUGUAAACUCUGAAAAGUCAUAAGACACUUUUUUAAAAUUAAAAAAAUACAUAUACAUUUGAAAUAGUUUCUUCUUAAACAGAUAAACAGAAUUAACUUGGGAUGUUUCCUACACAAUUUAGCUUCCUUCUCUCUCCCUCCACUCCCACCCCAGAUAGCUCACUUCCCUUUAUCAUCUCUGAUGCUGAUGAUGGGUGACAACAGUUAGCUGCACUGUACUCUGCCUCUAACUUAUUUUAUGACCUUGGAUAAGUUACAUGGCAUUUCUGAGCUUCUGCUUCUCAUAAGUAAGAUGACAUUGCUAUUACAUUUCUUUAAAACUUUUUUUAGUACUGUAAAACAAUAAUUUAUUACCUCUUGCAGUUCCAUGGGCUGACUGGACUCCACUGGGAGUUCUUGAUGUCUCUCGUGUGGUUGUGUGAGAUAGUGGCUGGGACUGGACUCAUCUGAAGGCUUGACUGGGCUGGAUGCCCAAGAUAGCCCACUUUUAGACAGAGGUGGCUGGCAGUUGAUGCUGACUGUCAGCUGGGGACUCAGCUGAGAGUGUUAACUGGAGUCCCUAGACGUGGCUUCUCCACAUGGCUUGGGCUUCUCAUGGAAGGGCACCUGGAUUCUGAGAGAGAGCAUCCCAAGAGACACAAGUGGAAAUGAUAAGGCUUCUUAUGACGUAGACUGGAGGUACUGAGACAUCACUUUUGCUACAUUAGAAGGUUAGAUGCUGACAUUUUAUGAUUUCACAACUUGGAUCCUCUGUCCUCUGAUACUGAAUCAGAUAGUAGUUUAUGGAGCUGAGCAGAGAGCCAGCUGGUCCUGGGCACAGAGGAGGCUGUGUUCCAUGCUGAAGACAAGAACAUAUGGUGGACGUACCAUCCUAACUAUCUGGGAAGGGAGCUUCGUGGCUACAUGGGAGUUAUCAUCUGCCAGUGCCGGCUGCAUCCUGGCUGUGCCCACCUCUGGACUCUGAAUCUCUGCACCUCAGUACCCCCAACCCCAACACGACUGUGAUGUUAGGCAUAUAUUAGGCAUGUGAAGAUGAGAAAGAGAAGAUACAGCUCCCAUGUUUAUCUCCAUGAGAAGAUAAGCCACAGGGAGAGAGAAAGACUGUUGUGCACGAGAGGGAGUGUCAAAUGCCAAAUGGAUGUCAGCAGUCGGGGUGUGCUAGAGGCACUCAGGGGAAGGGAGGCUGGGCAUAGAGGGUCAUGCUGGAGGAGGUGACUCUGGAUCUGAAUCUUGAAAGGUGAGUAGGAAUUACUCAAGGAAGGAAUGGGAAGGGCAUUUCAGGGGAGAGAUCCAUGUGAGUGAAAUAUGAGGACUGGCAGGGAACAGCAACCCACGUGGGUAACCGCAGAGUGACAGGAGGUGAGAGGUGGUGGGAGAUGGAGCUGGAGAUGCAGGCAGGGCCCAGGGUCAUGCAGGGCCUGGGAGGACAGGUUACAAUAUUCCCAUUUUCCUAGACUAGGACCUAGAAGCUCGGGAAGAUAAAGGGACUUGACUAAGGUCACAUAACUUGUAAGUGACCAGUCAGGCUUCGAACCCAGGACUCUGUGACGCCUCAGUCUCACCCCCUUUGCAUCAUCGUGUAAUGGCAGUUGCUGCUGCUGGUUUUCCCAGCUCCCUCUCCCAUUUCUCUGAGGCUCCUGGCAGACAAAGGGUGUUGCUUUUCUGCACCAUUUAUUGUAGUGACUUCAAUUAAACCAUCUUGUGCUGGAUCAGUGAGCAGCUCUAGGGAAUCGAUGAGCAGCACUGGCUACCAGGGAAGCAGAGUCUCCUCCCUUUGUUCCUGCCAAUCCUAGGUCUGGGUUCCUGUCCCCAGGUCUAGGGAGGACUCAAGAGAGGAAAUGGGGACCAGGGGGGCAGGUAGCAAAUCAUGAGACAAGGAAGCAAGUGUCUAUUACCUUCCUGACAUUGAGGGUGGGUGGCCAGCCCUUGGAUGUUCAUCUUUCCUGGCCCUGCCCACUGCUGCCCUUGCUCAGCUGCCUUCCUCUGGCUAAUUGGGACCUGCAGCUGCAGCUCCAAGACAAUGGGGCAUCCCACCUGGCUGCCUUCGGUGCAGGCCCAGUGUGCAAGGAACCUGGGCCCCAAGGAAGAGGAGCUAAGGGCCCUGUCCUAACUUGCUACAUGGCCUUUGGCAGAUUGCCUCCACUCUCUGAGGCUUCUUCUGGGGAAAAACAACAGGGUGGAAAUUGCAGUACAUGAUGCUGUUGUUCUCCACUUGUCGUCUUCAAUUCAUUGUCUCUCCUUCUUAGAAUUGCUCUGUGCCUCAGAAGGCUGAUCCCUGUGGAAUGAAUCAAUGGGUUCCUGUGUCUAUUGGCUCCAGUAUGAUUUGGCCACUGGGAGACACAGGCAGGAGGCUGGAAAGUGGGAGAGUAUUUCUUCUCUGCUACCUCUCUGCUUUGAUGCAGGGUUGGGCCAGUGCCAUUCUGCCUGGCUAUAGCUUCUUUCCAGCAGUCCUUCCCACUGCUCCAGGCCUCAGUGGGCUCCAGUAACCUUCUUUAGGCCCAUGGGUGGUUUCCAGCAUGAUAUGGUUUGGAUCUGUGUCCCUGCCCAAAUCUCAUGUGGAAUUGUAAUCCCCAUUGUUGGAGGUGGGGCCUGGUGGGAGGUAAUUGGAUCAUGAGGGCAGUUUUAAUGCUUAAGCACCAUUCCCCUAGUGCUGUUCUCAUGAUAGGGUUCUCAUGAGAUCUGGUUGUUUAAAAGUGUGUAGCACCUCCACCCUCUCUCUCUUCCUCCUGCUCUGGCCAUGUGAAUGCCUGCUCUGGCUUUGCCUUCUGCCAUGAUUAUAAGUUCCCUGAGGUCUCCCCAAAAGCAGAUGCUGCCAUGCUUCCUGUACAGCCUGUGGAACUGUGAGCCAAUGAAACCUCUUUUCUUUUUUUUUGAGACACAGUCUCGCUCUGUGGCCCAGGCUGGAGUGCAGUGGCAUGAUCUCGGCUCGCUGCAACCUCCACUUCCCGGGUUCAAGUGAUUCUCCCACCUCAGCCUCCUGAGGAGCUGGGAUUACAGACACUCCCCACCAUGCCUGGCUAAUUUUUGUAUUUUUAGUAGAGAGAGGGUUUCACCAUGUUGGCCAGGCUGGUCUCGAACUCCUGACCUCAAGUGAUCUGCCUGCCUCCGCCUCUCAAAGUGCUGGGAUUACAGGCAUGAGCCACCAUACCCAGGGCCUCUUUUCUUUAUAAAUAACCGAGUCUCAGGUAUUUAUAGCAAUGCGGCAACACACUAAUACACAGCAGUUUGCAGUCUCUGGGUUUCUCAAUAUUCUUCUUGGUUUCUUUAAUCUAGCCUUCUGUAAAUAGUACCUCCUCAGUAAGGUCUCUUCAGUUGAACUAUUUGAGCAGAGUUCUGUUUCCUGUUGGGACACUGAUGUAUUCUCUGAAGGCUCUUUCCAACUCUGAAGUCUUACACGUUCGUGAGGGGACGAUGUAACGACCUGGCUGACUCUCAGGCACCGGAGCCUGGGUUAUCCCGUGACAGUUUACAGGCUGAGUGAUCCCAGCUCCUCGGUAGUUCUUUCUUCCCCUCCUUUGGUCCUCAACCUUCACAGCCUUUGCUCAGAUUCCCAUCAUUUAUUUCUUGUUUUAAUCCGACUUUAUUGAGGUAUAAAUUACAAAUAGCAAACUACAUCCAUGAAAGUAUACAGUUAGAUGAAUACCUAUCUGUUAAAGCUUGAAUGUUUGUGUCCCUCUAAAUUCAUGUUGAAACUUAAUCCCCAUUGUGGUGGUAUUAACAGGUGGGGCCUUUUGGGAACUGAUUAAGUCAUGAGGGUUCUUCCCUUGGGAAUGGGAUUAAUGCUCUUGUAAAAGAGGCUUCAGAGGCUGGGCGUGGUGGCUCACGCCUGCAAUCUCAGCACUUUGGGAGGCUGAGGUGGGCGGAUCACAUGAGGUCAAGAGUUCAAGACCAGCUGGCCAACAUGGUGAAACCCCGUCUCUACUCAAAAUACAAAAAUUAGCUGGGCAUGGUGGCAGGCACCUGUAAUCCUAGCUACUCAGGAGGCUGAGGCAGGAGAAUCACUUGAACCUAGGACACGGAGGUUGCAGUGAGCCUAGAUUGUGCCAUUGCAUUCCAGCCUCGGCAACACGAGCAAAACUCUGUCUCAAAAAAAGAGGCUUCAGAGAGCUGCCUGGCCCUUCUCAUCCUUCUGCCAUGUGAAGACAUAGCGUGCAUCCCCUCUGGAGGGUAUAGGAACAAGGUGUCAUCUUGGAAGGAGAGAGCAAGCCCUCACCAGACACCAAAUCUACCGGCACCUUGACCUCCAGAACUGUGAGAAAUACAUUUCUAUAAUUUACAAAUUAUCUGGUCUGAAGUAUUUUGUUUAUAGCAGCAUUUGUUUAUAGCAUUGUUUAUAGCAUUGUUAUAGCAGCAGGAAUGGACUAAGGCAGCAUCGUUUUUAUCCAGGACUAUUCUAACAACUUUCUUUCUUUCUUUUUUUUUUUUUUUGAGACAGAAUCUCACUUUGUCACCCAGGCUGGAGUGUAGUGGCGCGAUCUCAGCUCACUGUGAGCUCCGCCUCCCGGGUUCACGCCAUUCUCCUGUCUCAGCCUCCCGAGUAGCUGGGACUACAGGCACCCACCACCAUGCCCAGCUAAAUUUUUUGUAUUUUUAGUAGAGACGGGGUUUCACUGUGUUAGUCAGGAUGGUCUUGAUCUCCUAACCUCGUGAUCUGCCCGCCUUGGCCUCUCAAAGUGCUGGGAUUACAGGCUUGAGCCACUGGGCCCGGCCUAUUCUAAAAACUUUCUAACUGGGCUCCAGUCUUCAUUCUUCUCCCUGCAAACUCAUACUCCUCAGAUCUGAUCAUGUUACUCUCUGAUCAUGUGCUGUCCUGCUCAUAAAUCCUGGCCAGUACUCCUUUGCCUUGAGGUGAAACCCUGGCCGGUGCUCCUUGACCUUGAGCAUGACAUAAGAAGCCUUCAUGAGCUGGACUUGAGCUUUCCAGGCUCAGCUCUCCCUGAUGUCCUAUGGAUGCUCCAGCUGUCAUGAACUACUUGAGUCAUACUCUCUCCAAGCUCUGACUUUGUAUGAACUGUUCCCAGCCCUAACGUGCUCUGCAACCUCACACCUCUGACCAUCAGCUUCCCUGUGUGUCUCACUAAUUCCUCUUUGUCCUUGGCCAUGACGAGUCUCUCUUCUGUGCUUCCAAAGUACAUUGCAGGUGCUUCUCUUGUUACACUUAUCCUGAACCAUAAACAAUGCCUGUUUCUCUUACUAGAGUGUGAGCCACUUGAGGUUAGAGUGUGUGUCUCAUAUCUGCACCCCUAGCUACUAACACUGUAUAUGGUGCAUGAUUCAUUUUUCAUCCAUCCAUUCAACAAAUAUUUGAUUGUCUACUAGAGGCCAAGCACUCUUCCAGCAUGGGGCUAAGGAACUGUACAAGACAGGUGUACUAGUCAUUCUGCUGUUGUAUCUCUGCUCCAAAUCCCACCUUUUUUUUUUUUUUUUUUUGAGUUGGAGUCUCACUCUGUUGCCCAGGCUGGAGAGCAGUGGCACAGUCUCAGCUCACUGCAACCUCCACAUCCUGGAUUCAAGUGAUUCUCCUGCCUCAGCCUCCCAAGUAGCUGAGAUUGCAGGUGUCCACCACCACGCCCGACUAAUUUUUGUGUUUUUAGUAGAUUUUUACUACUCUCUUUUUAUUGGUUUGUUGUCUAUCUUCCCUACCUGGAAUUUAAGGUCCACAAGCCCAUGAAAUUUCAUCAUGUUGGCCAGGCUGGUCUUGAACUCCUGAUCUCAAGUGAUCUGCCUGCCUUGGCCUCCCAAAGCGCUGGGAUUACAUGUGUGAGCCACCGCGCCUGGCUCAAAUCCCACCUUUUAAUGCUCUCUUUGUGAUGCUGGGGCUGGUAUAUCCUUUGACAUGGGACUUCCGGUUUUCAUUGGCGGUGAUACUAGUUGGACACUGGAAGGCAGGCAGAGGAAGCAGGAAACUGAUCUUUCCUUUAUGCUUCCUCUAUGCUUGCCAGGGUUGCCCCAGCAAUGGCCCUUCUUCCUCGUGGCAGAAGCUGGCUCUAGUUUCUAGCUCCUUUCAACGCUCCCAGAACCAGCCUCCCUAUGCCACCUUAGAGGUGAGUGGCAGCUGGGUGGUGCCCCCUUGGAGGACUGGCUCCUACCUCUGUGGGUUCUUCCUCACAGCACAUAGAUUCUUUUUUGCUUGUUUGUUUGUUUUUGAGAUGGAGUCUCUGUUGCCCAGGCUGGAGUGCAGUGGCACAAUCUUGGCUCACUGCAACCUCUGCCUCUGGGUUAAAGUGAGUCUCCUGCCUCAGCCUCCCGAGUAGCUGGGAUUAUAGGCACCCACCACCACACUCAGCUAAUUUUUGUAUUUUUAGUAGAGAUGGGUUUUUACCAUGUUGGUUAGGCUGGUCUUGAACUCCUGACCUCAAGCAAUCCUCCCGCCUCAGCCUCCUAAAGUGCUGGGAUUACAGGUGUGAGCCACUGUGCCCGGCCCCAGUACAUAGAUUCUGACAACACACACUACUUCUUGUGGUUAUUACCUCUGUCUUACUUCAGUGUUCGUGUUUAGAUUUUUCCUCUCCCUCUAAUAUGUUUUAUUGAAAGUAACUUCUUUUAUUAAAUGACACCUCUGAAAUAUGUAGUGCAGUUCCUGUUCUCCUGGCUGGACCCUGACUGAUGCCAUGGGGAAAGCCCUCGGGCUCGUGGACCUUAAAUUCCAGGUGAGGAAGGUAGACAACAAACCAAUAAAAGAAGGGUAGUAAAAAAUGUUACAAUGAAAAAUUAGACAGGGUAAUGGAUGGAGCCUGGGCUACUUUAGAUUAGUUGGGGAAAGUCUGUCCAAGAAGGUGACAUUUAAGCAGAAUUGAAUUUCCACCCAUGUAAAGAGCUGGGGAAAGAUGCCCCAGGGACAGAGACCAGUCAGUGCAAAGGCCUUAUGAUUUGAAUGGGCUUGGAUUCAAGGAUCAGAAGGAGCGCUGGCAUGGGCAGAGUGGGGUGAGGGAUGGGAGCUGCAGAGGAGGGUGACUGAAAGGCAGGCAGGGGCUAGAUCACAUGGGCCUCCUUUGCCAAGGAUUAGUUUCUCUUUUUUGUUUUUUUUAGAAAUUCUGAAUGUGUUGAAAAGGCUUUAGAGGGAUUUAAAAUAUAGGAAAUAACAAGGUCUGACUUAAAUUUACAAAAGAUCUCUCUAGCAGCUGAUGGGCGACAGUCUAUAGGGAGCAAGAGCAGAAGAUCUAUUCUCCUCAGGGCAGACAAUAGGCACCUUUCAAGGACGAGGCAAGUAAGGCCCAGAGAGCUGACAAGAUCUGUCCUAGCUCACUCCAUUUUGUACUUUUGGUUCCCAGACCAGUGGCCCUUUGUGGCUACACAUUCUCUAACUGAGGCACAACUGACCAGGCUCCAGGUGAAGCUUCUCGGCCUGGUAUGCAGAGAAGACGAAGCCCUUGGGGCAGCCCAGCACCCACCCUUGACAAUACUCCUGCUUCAUUACAGGUCCUGUUGUGCCCAACUCAUGAUUUAUCCAGGUCACACCAGUCUGGUCUGUCACAGUAAGAGGUGGGUGAGCCUUGAAAGAAAACAAGGCUCCGUGGGGGUUUCUGUAGAUGUUGCUGUGAAUUCAUAAGUCCCAAAAUUUGCAUUAUUCUCCUUUUUUCUUCCCCAACAUGUAGUCCAUCACCAAAUCCUUCUGCCUUUCCAAACAUUUGCUGACUCUGGCCCCUUUUCUUCAGGGCCACCAGGAAACACACCUUCAGGAAGCACCUUUUCUGUUCUAUCCCAAAGGGCACCAUCACAUACACUAUAAUAUGAAUCAUGACCCCCGGAGUUGUGUGGAGUUUCUGCAUCUCUCCCUCCCCACUGUGGCUACCCUCAUCCAGCAACCAUCCUGUCUCUCACCGGUAUUACCGCAGCUGAGACCCAGGUCUUAAGGAAGCUGAGACCCAGGCCAGCAGGGGCCUCACAGGUAGAAUGAAGGUGAUGCUGGUGGGAUUUGGGGCUUACCUUGAAUAGGCAGUAGGGACAUUCUGAGUAGAAGGGAGGGGUCACUUUGUAAGUAGAGGUAGGAGAAAGAGAAGAAUCUUUUUAUAUGCUUCAGGCAACAGGUUUUUGCUUUAUUGAAAUAACCCUUCCUCCUGCAAAUUUUGGGGAUGGGGGAAAUGGCUGGAUGGGUCCUGGGAGUGCUGCUGAGGUGAUCUCAGGUCAGAAAUUUUUCUCCACAGCUUGGAAAAAGAGGAGGGUGUAAGACUCUGGAUGAAGCUGAGAGAUCCUUCCAUGCUUGGCUGAGAGACUACACAGACAUGAGCUUCAGGAGACUCCAAAGCCUCGGAUCCCCUUCUAAACUAGCACUGAAUUCUGAUUGGCUGUCUUUGCCUGCCUCAGUUUGUUCCUUUUACUGAUUGGCUAGGUUCUUCUGCCCAUGGCAGAGCCCUGCUCCAGCCACCGGAUCCUCCCACCUGCCACAGUGUCACCUGGGAUUGGCUGGGCUCUGAAAGGCCAGGCUGGCUUGACUCUUGCCAUCAUCAGAUUCUUCCUCAUUAAACAAAUGAAUCACAAUCCUAAUUAAUUUGAGCAACAGAAUUUAUGUAACUACUCCCAGCAGGAUGUCUGCUCUCAGUCAGCAGAGAGAUUACUUCCUCUCUCUGGGAAAUUCCAGCCUUGCUGGUCAAUAAGCCUUAAUGAUGACUGAAAUCUCCCAUCUGUCUCUGCUCAGGGCAGGUAACCCCUACUAAGCAGACACCCAGUUGGCUCGAGGCAGUACCCCGGGCACCGGCAGGACAAGGACAACGAUCUCCCAGCCUAGAUGUGUCCUGAGCCACAUGGAGCACACAGUAGGUGUUUACUUAAGGACAGGGGCUGCCCCUUCCAGGGAAGUUCUGAACCACUUAAAACCCACAGGAAGUGUUCAAUGUCUACUUAUGGAAUAAAUGAAAGGGAGGAUGUGUCACUCAGAUACUUAUAAAAUGGUCUCAAGAUCCUAAACUCCAAGCAAGCUUCUCCAGCUCUUUCCAGCCUUUGCUCCCCCUAUUUCCCAUGACCAUAACCCAAUUCUGUCUUUUUCCUAUUUUGAACUUUCCAGACUCAGAAAUUUGGCUCUUCAUGUUCCCUGCCCUUGAACCGUCCCAGCCCUCUCUCCAAAACAGGCUUCAUGCUGGCUGCAUGGGAGGGAGGGGUAGCAAAGUGGAAAGUGUUACAGAAUUAGUGCUAAUUCUGGCUUUGUCACUUACUCAUUGUACUUCACCUCUCUGUUCUUAACUUUUCUCUCAUACAUAAACCACACGGGGUUCUUGGGAAGAUUAAAUAAGAAAACAUGGUGAAAAUGUAUUGCACAGUACUUGACUCAUUUAAUUGGUGACAGACAGUGUUUUAGGUAAUGGAGAUACAGUGGUGCUCAAGGCAGGCAAGAUUCCUGCUCCCAAAGAAUUUAAUUUCCAGGAGACAAGAAGCAAGCUAGCAAAUGUAUAAGAUAAUAGUUAGGGAACAGUACUCAGCAAAAAUAAAAAAUGUAUGGAGAGGGACUGAGGGGAGUGAGGAACUCUUUGAGGAGGUGCCACUCUGAGACCCAAAUGACAAGAAGGAAUUAACCACAUGACAUUCUAGAAAGAGGGAAAAGAGUUGCUGUUAAGAAGAUGUGGGUGUGUUAAAAAAAAAUUGCAAAGUCCCUUAGGUACGAUUGAGCUGCUAAUGAUCAAUCUGAGGCUUCUGCUCUGUGUCUUAUAGGUAAACGGGGUAAGGUUUGGUAGGACUGAAAAAUUCAUCCAGCCACCUAUCUAGGGGGUGUGAGGGUCAAGAUGUGGACCCAGGUCUUCUGCCCUUAAGAGCAGAGUGCUUGUCACUACAGCACAAAGAAGGUGCAAGAGAAAGGAAAAGAUUACAGGAUCUGACUCCCAUUUGGGCCUUCCACCUCCGCUGGCCUAAGCAGUCAAGUGUCAGAGAGCACUGGACCUAACAGCUCCCUCACCAGAGCAGCUGUGAUUCCUUCUUCAUUUCCAGCAGGGAAGACCCAACAACUUUUAUAAUAUGGGAUUUCUUUUAUUCUCAUGAUAAUAAUGUUCAUUGUGGAAAAUAAAAAAAAAUGAUAAAAUAAAAAUCAGCCAGAAUUCCAACUUCUG